rnacentral:rRNA from 1 species
UACGAGGGGGGCGAGCGUUGUUCGGAAUUACUGGGCGUAAAGCGCACGUAGGCGGCUUUGUAAGUAAGAGGUGAAAGCCUGGAGCUCAACUCCAGAAUAGCCUUUUAGACUGCAUCGCUUGAAUCAUGGAGAGGUGAGUGGAAUUCCGAGUGUAGAGGUGAAAUUCGUAGAUAUUCGGAAGAACACCAGUGGCGAAGGCGGCUCACUGGACUGGUAUUGACGCUGAGGUGCGAAAGCGUGGGGAGCAAACAGG